rnacentral:lncRNA from 10 species
CCCAUCUCUGUCGUUUUAUCUGUAUUGUGUGGAUGUUUGACUGAUGCUCACCAUGCAUGAGAAAUGUAUGCAAAAUACGAAGGCAGAGAGAAAGUUUUAGAACACACCUAUAUGACCCAAGUAAUGAGUUUCCAUGUGUGCCCUGGAGGUUGGAAGAGGAGUCAAGACAGAUGCUGGAGGCAGAUGGGCCUUAAGGCACAGACUGCCCUUGGGGUAUCAUUUCACAGAUUUUGGCUCCUAUAAAUGAUACUUCUGGGAAAUUAAGAUAUAGAUG